UGAGGUUACAUGAGUGAUUUAUCUGCCUUAUUUUUACAUGUUCACAAAUCAGUAUCCAGGAGAACUGUAAAUAUAUAGAGGCUUUGUACCCUCCCACUGAAAUUUUGUGCUCUUAAAAGGAAACCAGGUGCUUUUUCUAAGUAAGGAAAGAGUUUAUAAAUUACCCAUCAUCAAUCAUGUCCUCACAUCUAAUUUAUAAAAGAUGAUUUUAUUGAUCAUUGAAAUGUGUAUCAGAGUGAGAACUUUUCAAUGUUUUUUUGGGGGAAUAUUAUAUUACCCUAAUUUAAUAUUUUU
rnacentral:lncRNA from 1 species